CGCCUCCUGCGGUGUUCGAGGGCUGCCCAGGGUACCCUUGAGCCUAAAUGCAAACCCAGGGCCGAACCGAAUGGCGCCCUUGUGCAUGUCCGCUUCAUCGCGGAAAGCCUUCCAGCUCCAUCGUUCUGCCCACUUGAACCGCUGGUUCAAGGUCACGGUCGGCCACGGCACAGGCGGGAGGCGU
rnacentral:other from 2 species